rnacentral:rRNA from 1 species
ACUCCUACGGGAGGCAGCAGUGGGGAAUAUUGGACAAUGGGCGCAAGCCUGAUCCAGCAAUACCGCGUGUGUGAAGAAGGCCUUAGGGUUGUAAAGCACUUUCAAUUGGGAGGAAAACCUGCCGGUCAAUACCCGGUAGCUUGACAUUACCUUUAGAAGAAGCACCGGCUAACUCCGUGCCAGCAGCCGCGGUAAUACGGAGGGUGCAAGCGU